rnacentral:rRNA from 1 species
GACGAACGCUGGCGGCGUGCUUAACACAUGCAAGUCGAACGGAAAGGCCCUGCUUUUGUGGGGUGCUCGAGUGGCGAACGGGUGAGUAACACGUGAGUAACCUGCCCUUGACUUUGGGAUAACUUCAGGAAACUGGGGCUAAUACCGGAUAGGAGCUCCUGCUGCAUGGUGGGGGUUGGAAAGUUUCGGCGGUUGGGGAUGGACUCGCGGCUUAUCAGCUUGUUGGUGGGGUAGUGGCUUACCAAGGCUUUGACGGGUAGCCGGCCUGAGAGGGUGACCGGCCACAUUGGGACUGAGAUGCGGCCCAGACUCCUACGGGAGGCAGCAGUGGGGAAUAUUGCACAAUGGGCGGAAGCCUGAUGCAGCAACGCCGCGUGCGGGAUGACGGCCUUGGGGUUGUAAACCGCUUUCGCCUGUGACGAAGCGUGAGUGACGGUAAUGGGUAAAGAAGCACCGGCUAACUACGUG